GACGAACGCUGGCGGCGUGCUUAACACAUGCAAGUCGAACGGAAAGGCCCUGCUUUUGUGGGGUGCUCGAGUGGCGAACGGGUGAGUAACACGUGAGUAACCUGCCCUUGACUUUGGGAUAACUUCAGGAAACUGGGGCUAUUACCGGAUAGGAGCUCCUGCUGCAUGUUGGGGGUUGGAAAGUUUCGGCGGUUGGGGAUGGACUGGCGGCUUAUCAGCUUGUUAGUGAGGUAGUGGCUUACCAAGGCUUUGACGGGUAGCCGACCUGGGAAGGGGGACGGCCACCAUGGGCCUGCGAUACGGAGCAGACUGGUAUGGUCGGCAAAAGUGGAGAGUCUGACAGAACGGGGGGGCGUCUGUGGUAAAGACGCCGCGAGCGGAAAGCUCGGCUUCGGGUUGUGAACAAAUGUCGAAGGAGCCGAGCAGGGAGUGACGGUAAUGAGUAAAGAAGCAACGGCUAACUACGUG
rnacentral:rRNA from 1 species